rnacentral:rRNA from 1 species
CCUACGUGGGGCAGCAGUGAGGAAUAUUGGUCAAUGGGCGCGAGCCUGAACCAGCCAAGUCGCGUGAGGGAAGACGGUCCUAUGGAUUGUAAACUUCUUUUGUCAGGGAGCAAUUGAGUCCACGUGUGGGCUUAGCGAGAGUACCUGAAAAAAAAGCAUCGGCUAACUCCGUUCCAGCAGCCGCGGUAAUACGGGGGAUGCGAGCGUUAUCCGGUUUUAUUGGGUUUAAAGGGUGCGUAGGCGGAAUAUCAAGUCAGCGGGAAAAAUUCGGGGCUCAACCACGUAGUGCCGUUGAAACUGGUGUUCUUGAGUGGGCGAGAAGUAUGCGGAAUGCGUGGUGUAGCGGUGAAAUGCAUAGAUAUCACGCAGAACUCCGAUUGCGAAGGCAGCAUACCGGCGCCCAACUGACGCUGAAGCACGAAAGCGUGGGUAUCGAACAGGAUUAGAUACCCCGGUAGUC